rnacentral:snRNA from 1 species
AUAUUUUAGCACAUAUACUAAAAUUGGAACGAUACAGAGAAGAUUAUCAUGGCCCCUGCGCAAGGAUGACACACAAAUUUGUGAAGUGUUCCAUAUUUUU